rnacentral:rRNA from 1 species
CCUACGGGUGGCAGCAGUGGGGAAUAUUGGGCAAUGGGCGCAAGCCUGACUCAGCAACGCCGCGUGAAGGAAGAAGGCUUUCGGGUUGGAAACUUCUUUUCUCAGGGACGAAGAAAGUGACGGUACCUGAGGAAUAAGCCACUGCUAACUACGUGCCAGCAGCCGCGGUAAUACGUAGGUGGCAAGCGUUAGCCGGAUUUACUGGGUGUAAAGGGCGUGUAGGCGGGACUGCAAGUCAGAUGUGAAAACCAUGGGCUCAACCUAUGGCCUGCAUUUGAAACUGUAGUUCUUGAGUACUGGAGAGGCAGACGGAAUUCCUGGGGUAGCGGUGAAAUGCGUAGAUAUUAGGAGGAACACCAGUGGCGAAGGCGGUCUGCUGGACAGCAACUGACGCUGAGGCGCGAAAGCGUGGGGAGCAAACAGGAUUAGAUACCCCUGUAGUC